ensembl:lncRNA
GAAAUGAGAUGUAAUGCCAGUGUACAGCUGUUUUCAAAUACAUCAAUGGAGUAUUAACAAUGCAUGAAUAUUAUUGUAUUAAAUGUAAUGUGAUCAGCAAAUGCAUGCAUGUAAUACGUAAUAUAACCAUCUACAUUGACUGAGAGACAUUGAAAAUCAUUAAGUGUACUCAUUGCACCACUUUAUCUAUGGAAAACUCUAAAUAACUAAGUCACCAUGAACGCACCAGAAGACGUCACAUGUGCUCAGAGGGGGGGACGCUGAACCCAAUCAUCAUAAUGUAAAUGCUUUCCAUGGAUGACGGCUGUCGCUCUGGUCGAGUGCUUGAUACUGAGUCACGUCCUGUUUUAUUUUGCAGUUUCCUGCCUCUUGUGUUCCCGGGUCCGAUCCACUUCCUGCCCUGGUGUGUUUUCCCCUGUGGUUGUGAUUGUUUCCUGCCCAGUGUAUUUAAAGCAGGUGUGUCCCUUGUCUCUGGUGGGUUCAUUGAGUUGUCUGGUCAAUGUUGGUGAGUCAUCAGUGUGCGUCACAGUUGGUCCUAAAUAAAGUAUUUUUUUUCUUCUCCCUUCACCUGACAGAAAGUGAAGUGAACCCUGGGACACGACAUGCGGGAAACAACAAAAUAAAAUGAGACCGUGACCGAUGUGAUGUUGAGGUUUGCGUUUUGUUCUCACGUUGUUGUAGUGAACUUAUUGAAACCAAAGUCCACCAACCUCAGUCGUAAGAUCAUUAUUUAAAUGCCACACUAACCUGCUGACCAAAGAUUCUAAAUCGUCAAUGAUGCAAGCAAAGGAUCUUUUUUUAGACCUUCCUUGUUUUUCUAAUACACCUCUCUCUAAAACGCCCUCCAAAUAGGAAUAACACACACACACACACACACACACCUCUUUGGUCUUUGCCGUCCUGCUGUCCUUCUGAAGGCUGUAGAUCUGCCGCUGCAGCUGGAGGUUGUUCUCCUGCAGGUGGCCGAUCCUGGCGAUGAGUUGGCAGAUGUGAUCCAGGUAAUCCAGGCCCGAGCCCGGAGGGUUGGAACUCGCUUGCUGUGCCUGGACAAACAGGAGUACGAUUGUUGCAUUAUGCCGUUUGGACGGAGACGCCUCUGAGGCCAUGAAGGGCCGCGGGGACGUCCCCUCCUUGAGCCACGGAAAUACACCCAGAAAUAUCGUCCCACAGGUUGCGGGUCUAUGGAGUAGUUUAAAAAUAUAAAUGUGUAACAUGCGAGUGAGCCAAUGAGUGUCCUCAAAUGGUACGGCCAUAAGCUUGUCUCUACAGGCGCCAUCUGAACAGCAUGGCGUGGCGCGUGCGACCGCCAUCACCACUCGCUACCAAUAGCACAGAAAAAGGAUUUUGUGUUAGACACAAAACAAUCAAAGGGUUAACGUAAUAUCCAUUCAAUGGCUUCUUUUUGUUGAGCCUUCUACUUAGCUAGCAGGCCUUUAGUCUAUUCGGGAUGAGGAAGGGAAUUCCUUCCCGGAGAUGACCCUCACUUCCUCCGGGGUAGCUGAUGAUGAGGGGGGGGGUGUAACCGGAAUCCGUUCGUGCUGAGACGGGCACGCCAUCGGGGCUACAGCUGAUCUUAUCCGCGGCCCCACAGGGACCGCCGGGGUGAUCUGAAGCUGGGAAACAGGACGGGGAACUUGCAAUGCCCACUUUUGUGUGCGCUGCUUCAUUUCAGAGUGCAAACAAACACGCGCACACGCCCUGCUCCACUUCCUCCCAGUUAAAGGGAACGCAACGUCUCGCUCAUGGACCUGGCCGAGGUCUCUAAUGGCCGUGUCCGAUCGGGAAUCCCAUUUAUCCCGCUAGUAGGACGAUAGUGAGCGGAGGAAUAUAUGUGUGUUUAGUGUUCAUCCGAGGCCCAUUUAAAGGCUGCAGGGAUAUCUGAAGCCUAAACACCAAGAUCGAUGGUGUGCAGCAGCUUUCUGCUGUCCUGAUGUCAUUGGUGAGCUCAUUCCACCGUUUAGGAGCCAGGAUCACAGGCGGGGUGCGUUUAGCUCUCUGCGAGGGAGCAACAGACCAGUAUAUUCUCAGCUGACUCGUCUCCUCCCAGUUUGUAAUGCAAAACCAAAACACCUUCCAGUGGGAUCUGAUAAUUAGCAGUAAACACAAACUACAGUGUUUUCAUUUGGUCAUCAAAGGUUCUGCACUGGAAGAUCUGGACUUGGCACUGAGACAAAUUCUCGGGUUCACUCAAAUCAACGCGAUCCAUCCUCUGAGGACCUCGCAUGGACACUGGAUGUCACAAGAAAUCACGCAGAAUUCUAUCUUGUCAGACUUCAAGUGACCAGGUUGGUUUCUCUUUUUCUGACUCGCUUUGCAAAGGAGUUGAUUGAAAGGUGGUUCUGAUCGCCUGUGGAGAUGCUUGAGUCUCGAUCAGGUGACAGACUGUGGGAUUGUGGGUGGGGGCCAAAGCUCCGAGCGCUCUUUGCGGACCCACGUUCCGUCGGCUCGGACCGCUACGAGAGCCACAGAACCAGAGAAGUGUCUCAUGUAUUGGGACGCUGCCUUGGUCUCCGCGUGGCUGAAGAAGCGAGACCGUCUGUUCACGUGGGAUGAACGUUCAUGAAGGAGGGAGCUUUUUAUUGACGGCCAGUUGGUUGACUCGCCGUCCAACAUUCAAACCAGGAGCAUUAGGCAAUGAGUCGUGCACACGGAGGCCGUCUCCCACGUCCUCGCCGCCCCUCGAGGCUUCCCUGCACAUGACAGUGUUGGAAAGGAAUGAAGCUCCAGAUGUGCAGAGCACCCAGACAGGGAGGAAGACACGAGCCGUGUCUUUCACCACGCGGACAGCGCGUCCUCCUCACGUCCUCCUCACGUCCCCGCUGCACACGGGACUGAGUGAGCUGGUCCUUCUGUCCACUGACUUUGAUGUGCUUUUGUCUUCUCUUUUUAAACGUUCCUGUCACAGCGUCCCUGAUGAGCACAGUUACUGAAGGAGAACCUCGUUCCUGCAGAAUGUGGAGCUGUUUCAGAAGACUUUGCUUCUAUUAAAUAUGCAGCUUUGGAUUAUUAAGCACAUUCUUGUAAUAAUAUGACAUGUGAUCAUAUGUGUAUUAUUUAUAUAAAUUACUAAAGAGUGCUGACAAGAAACAACGUCCCUGGGUUUUUUAUUGGUACCCUUCAAUGUGUUGGUAUGACACACACACCCACACACACACACACACACACACACACACACACACACACACACACACACACACACUUCCUGUGUAAUACAAUAUUACAGAGUAAAACGGGCCCAAUCAAUACUUUUGUUCAAUAAGUAUGAACAUGUACACAAACUGCUCUGUCCUCAGUCUGUCAUCCACACCGCCGGAGGAGGACAGAGGACAGAGGCUGUUUGUUUUAUUUGCAGUGUGUGUUUAUUGUGACUGCAGUAAACAGUAAAGAGUUAUUUUCAACAUUUACUUGUAUCUAACUUAUAAAUAACUUCAAAUACUGUCCUCAAUUGAUUUGUUCUUAAGCUUCAUAUUCAUGGAAGAUGAUUCAGUAAUGAUGAAAAGCAUCAAUUAGAGUUGCUCCUAGUUGUAAUGAAAUGAAGUGAUACUCUCGAUCAGUGGUACUGGGAGGUGUAGGAGACGACAGAUAUGCACUCAUGGAAUGUCAGACCUCUGAACUGUGUAUUCAUGAAUAUUCAUGUAAUUACAUGUUAUGUUAUUGUAAAAUCGGACUCAUAGAGAAAGUGUCCAUCUGGAGAACAGAAGGACCAAAGAGCCCCAUUGAGCAGGGGCCGGGCUGGUGAUGGGCUGCCUGUCAGCUGAGCCACCGACACACCCCACUGGCUGCCCAUCAAAGGGCCUUUAUCUGGGUGAAUACGUCAGAUCUGAUGCAUCCAGGUGCUCCGCUCAGACCGGGGGGGGGGCAGGUGGCCCAGAUGAGAAGGUGCUGCAUGACAUGCAAGACAUGCAAGUCGGCCUGCCGGCCGCCAUGUGGACACGGCCUGGUCUCAGGGGGGUUUGAGACGGGGAGGACGACUACAAAGGUUCCCAGAUGAUCAAUUGUUUUCAGCGAAGCGGGCGGAGAGACACACGGUGGACAAGCAGGGACGCCGGCACACUGACUAAAGGCUUUUCAACGUUGUAAACGUUUGCACGACUCCGCUUAGCAGAGGGACAAAUGUCGCUGAUUCACAUUUGACACUAAUACAAGAAGAUCCAUUAAACUGUCCAGCAUCCUCAAAGAAUUCAAAGCUGCACUUUGAACAGUACGUCCCACUGAUAAUGUCUUCACUCUUCAUUAAACAAUUGGCUGAAGUGAUGAUAAUUCUUACACUAUGAAUUAAUAGUUAGUCUUACUAUAGAAGAAAAAGCUUAAUCAGAGACAGAUUUAUCAGUGAAAUACACUCCAAUUAGACGCAUGAUUCUCUUAAUAACCUUUGCAUAGAGUAGAGCACAUUUAGUCAGCAGAGGAAUUUUGCUAAAAAGUAAAAUAGUAUUAUAUUGAACUAACUGCUUGAACGUAAUGCUAUUGUACAUACACUACACGGUAUUAAUAUAUGUAUAUGUGGGCAUAAUAUGAAGUAUAUCAUAUUUUAAAAGUACAGUACACAGCAUAAUUGUGAUGUGUGCUGUAUAUUGACUGUACUUACUACCAUAGAAAUGACAAAGAAGUGUCUCAGCUGCUCAGCAGCUUCACUUCAUGUAGCAUCAAACUGGUGGAAACGCAAUGAACAAUAAUAAUGAUUAAUAAUGAAAGUCUUCAAAAAUCACAUUCUCUUCGCAGCUUUAAACUUUGAUGUGAUUAUCUUCCUCCCCACGUGCUUAAAUCAGCGGGAUGAAUUCUGAGGCCGAGCUGACAGAUGUGCCGAUCAAACAGCCCAUUAUGACUGUGCAGCUUGCACAGCUGUCAGCUGCUGGCGUCCUGAAUGAGAGCAGGAGGAGUUGUCUCUGGCCGGGACAUGAAGGGAACGUGCUCCUGAAGGUUCUUGCCUUCAGUUGCGCUCUGGUCAGGUCAAAGCGCCGGGACUCCUUCGCUCCUCCAUUACAUGCAGGAUGUUUAGGAGGAGGCUCUUAUUCUCACAGGAGGCGUCUGGUCUGACGCGAAUGCAGCAGUUCAGUAACAAACCAAUGGGACACAAGUUAAGCUUUUACUCUACAACCAGCAGACUUUAAUUUCAUUGGAAUGCUGCAAAUAUUGCAUUACAUUUGAAAUUUUUGAUGAUAAUAUUAAAAGAUGACUCUGGAGAAAACGAUACGCGGAUACAAAUAAAAACUAUAUAUAACUACAACAUGUAGAGCUUCCUUUAUUUUGUAGAAGGCACUUUCAAAUCAAAAGUGUUAUUGUGUUGUAAGAUUAUUAUGAAUAUCUGACAGCUGGUGCUGUUAUUGCACAUUUUAUUGCACAGCUGUUAAACCUGUGGACCCACGUUUGACUGAUAUGACGAUUGCUAAAAAGAUUGUACACACACACACACACACACACACACACACACACACAGAGAGCAGCGGGGGUCACACGGCGGCUUGAUGUUGCCACAGUUUGAACCUUGACCUCCUUACCUCACUCAGUCUGCAGCAUUGGUCCAUGUAGUCCUCCAGGCUGUCUCUGGUCUCACGGCUCCGCCGAGGCGCCGGCUCGAAGUGGCUGCCGUCUCCUCGGAAGCAGGUCCUCUCGGUUUCGGCGCAGGUUUCCUCAAGCUGUCCCGGCAUGUCCUCGUCUCUCUCAGGGCUGGCUCCCGACCCCCCGCUCUGGUCCCCGUCCACCUCCUCACCUGCGCGCCGCUCUGCACCCACGGCUGAACUGAGCUCCUCUGAGUGUAUGAAACCGUCAUUCAGAGCCCCCGCUGCUGCACUCGCACCAUCGUCCGCUGAGCCCGGCGCCUGUUUGCUCUCCGGGAGCUGCGUGAGUGGCACCAGGUCAUCGGGGGCGGCGCCGGCGUCGGAGUUCCGGUUGCAGGAGGACUCUCGGCUGUGGACAGUGAAGCUCUGCUCAGAGCUCGUCGGGGUGGACGGAGAGUCCGCGCCGCUGGGCAGCUCCACUCCAGAGUCCUCCGACUCAAACUUGUACGACCUCGUCAGCCGAGAGUCCGAGGCCGGGUGCCGUGAGACGGACUCCGUCUGAAGCCGGCCCGGCUCGUCAACGCGGUGGGAACGUACUUCAGAGGGUUUGCUGGGGUCACAGACGUCCUGCUCCGAAACGGACACAGUUGAGAUGGUGGAGGCCGAGUCGUCGGCCGUCGGAAGCAUCUUGUGGAUGUUGCUGAAGAGCUUCAUUUUGGUCAGAACAACCUCUCUGUCCAGAACCGCGUCUCUGUCUCCUUUCCCUGUUCAACAGAAGAGGAAACGUGUGUUCAUCUAAGAAGCCUCGUCUCAACACUUUGUUUAGUUUAGGUUCAGGUUUAGGUUUAGGUUUAGGUUCAGGUUUAGGUUUAGGUCGAGGCACACAGGGCGGUUUCGGGUCAAAUAUCUACUUGAUCGAGGUCAGUGAGCUUGUCUGGGUUAAGAUUUCUAAGUAUUCGCUGGCAGUAUAAAACAUGGAUGUUUAGCCGCUGCAGGUCUCGCGUGAACUAAAGGACAGAACCAGCUGAGCUUCUUGAGAAAACAGCGUUCCUCCUCUGCAAACCUGGUCCGUUCGUUUUCACACAGUGUGAAAGGUCACCGGCGCGCGUCCAAAGGAAACAAAGGACCUUGAAAUACUUGAGGUGAAGCCAAAGGUCAAGCUCAGGGCGGCCUGAGUGCCAAAAAGUCAAAUGACGUAACACCUGGCUCAGAGC